AUGGACUCAGCUUGCCUGCGGGGGACAUCCGCCCCGGGCCCAGGCGCAGGGCUGAGCGCUGAGACCAGAGGCCCCACUGCUCACCACUCCUGCUGCCGCCCAGGGGUGUCUCACUGCAGGAAGGUGUGGGCAGGGACCCAGCCCCGUGGGGGACAGCAUGUGGCGUGGCUCUGGGGGCGUGCAGAGGGCAGAGGGCGGGCUGCCCCAUCCUCCCCGGCCUCACUGAGUGUGGACUGGCACAGGGGCUCUGGACAGGAGGGGACAGGGACUUGGGGGAUGGGUCAGUGGCCCCAGAGGGAACAUUCUGCCACAGUGAGCAGGCCGGGACAGGCAGUGACCCAGGCCCGGAGCCCAGGACUGCGCGGACAGGAUGGUCAGCGGGCGGCGGGCACGUUUAUUUUCCUCUCAUAUAAAAAUGACACAUUUGAAAUGACCGCAGGAAGAUGCCCCGUGGGGCCAUCCGUGGGGUCGGUGACACUGAGCCCAGGGCGGUCACGGGGCGGGCAGGCACAGGGCCAUGAGCUGGGGAGUCAGGCUUGGGGCUCAGACUGGGCCUGGGGAGUGUGCCGGCCCCGCCCCAUGGCACUGCAGGGAGCCCUGAGCGUCCACAGGGGACGGGACACUCCGACUCUCCUGGCUCCCAGGGCGGCCCGCUGGCCAGUAAGUCACACACACGCUGCCCACGCUGGCGUGCAGUCACUGAGGGACGCUGCCUGUCUCCAGCCUCGCCCCUGGAUGUGUCUCCUCAGGCACGGGGUCUGCUGCAGCCACCCUAGGCCUGGUGGGCAGAGCUGGCAGAGCUCGCCGAGCUGGAGGGUGGAGGCCGAAGCAGGCAGGGGUGAAAUGGGAGGACUUCUGAGAGAGAGAUGGGCAGGGGUCUCCUCACUGGCUUCCCACACUGCUCAGCCCCAGCCCACAGCCUCUCAAUGGAGUUAUGCUAGCUACUCCCCCAAACCAGCAACCCAGGGCUGGGAGAGGUGGGCUGCUGGGGUGAGCAGGGAGGGAGAGAGGCUGCGGCAGUACAGUGCCCAGUGCCGGGCUGUUCCUGAGGAGAAGGCCGACCCCUUCCUCCCUGACUAUGGAGACUGCUCCCUCCCUUCCUCUUCCCCAGCCUCCUCCUCCAGUGGCCCUAAUGGCAGUGACACGGGCCGCUGGGGCAGGCAGGGGCAGGGAUAUCGAGGGCCAUCUGCUGAGUGGAGAAACCCACAAGUGCGCGAUCUACUCAAGUCGAACAGAUGACAGGCCAGUGCAGAUGAAGGUGGUGUGUACCCAGAAACGGCCAGCCCUGGGCUCUCCGGGGCCGGAAAGAAAAGCAAGGGAGGUCACGCAGGGUAAGAAGGUACCUUCCAGGGAAAGUUAACUGAAGCAGUGAUGUGUAAGUGUAUAAACAAAUGGCACAAAUAUUCUGAGACAGCAUUUCGCUAUGUAGUUGUACCCCAGGCUGGCCUCGAACUCGUGGGGAUCCCCCCUCCUCAGCCUCCCAGUGCUGGGAUCACAGGUGUGCCACCACCAAGCCCAGCCCAAAAGUGGUUAUGAUUUUGAACACUAACUUUUCUUCUAAAAUGAUGGGGGACAUCAUUUUAAAUAAAAAAUUCAUUAGUGGAGGAUCAUCGAAAGAAAACUACAAAUAAAUGAGAUCAACAAGGAACAGCUUCCUGGGCAGACAAGCUCCAAAGCCCAGAAUGGCUUCUCUGUGGACCUCCCCAGAGUGUCCUGCAGACCACGGGGACACCGCAGGGCGCACACCCCCUCCUGCUUGUCGCGGGUCCUCUGCACCCUGACUCACUCUCUCCUCUCACGAGCUGAACAGUUUACUUCCUGCUGUCUCCAUGGAUCGGGUACUGCUUCCUCACCACCAGGACAGCACCAUCAGGCUUUGAGAGGCCUGCCAGCAGCCAGCAUGACCAGAGCCACAGUCGGGCUGGAGGGGGACCAGACAGAUGCUGCCAUCCCAGCACACCAGGAAAUGCCGGAGGCCAGCAAGGAUUAAACUCCGCGCCGGGAACAGGAAAUAUUUUAAGAAAAUGUGACCCUAGGCGGCAAGAGAGAAAGGGGUUGAUGGGAUGGGGGUGGGGUGGGGGUGGCCUAGCAGUCGGGCGGUGCCCAUUCCCCUCCCGAGUGCUGGCCUCUGAGCACUGGGCCCUCCCUCGCCCUUCAGCUGCUAAGUGUGGCCAGGUCUGCAGGGACACAGUGACACCCACACCCGGAACUCGCUCCAGGUGGCUGUGCCGAAGGUGCUCAGGCACACGAGCUCACAGAGCACACGUGUCCGUCUGUGUACCCCUCCAGCCGGAGAGCAGCUGCCACCACCGGUCCCCAUAACUCUGCCAAGUCCAGAAGGCCAGCAGCCACGCCGGGCUCCCCGUCUGUGUGUGUCGCUGCUGAGGUCAGCACUGGGGCAGAAGAGGCUGUGAGUGGAAGCAGUCCCAACAGCUACCAGAUGCCACACUGGACAGAGGCUGUGCGUGGCUAGCAGUAAAGCAGGGACAGAGGAUGUAAAUCCCCGAGGGAAGGAGAGAGGCAGCCCCCAGCCACUAGCGCUCUGUGUUUCGUGGGCGCCCACUGUGGGGCUACAACACACCACACCACACCACAGGGCAACCCCAAUCUGUCCACAGGUGGGGACACUGAGGCCUGAGCCCUCGCUGCAGACGGUCAGAGCGCUGUAAUGUGGGGCCUGGAAUCUGAACUUGGUCUAUUUGAUUCCAGAGCUUGGGGAGACAGCAGGAAAACACAUUAAAGAUGUGCUGGAAGAAGUAAA
rnacentral:lncRNA from 1 species